rnacentral:rRNA from 1 species
AGUGAACGCUGGCAGUAGGCCUAACACAUGCAAGUCGAACGGCAGCACAGUAAGAGCUUGCUCUUACGGGUGGCGAGUGGCGGACGGGUGAGGAAUACAUCGGAAUCUACUUUUUCGUGGGGGGUAACGUAGGGAAACUUACGCUAAUACCGCAUACGACCUACGGGUGAAAGCAGGGGAUCUUCGGACCUUGCGCGAUUGAAUGAGCCGAUGUCGGAUUAGCUAGUUGGCGGGGUAAAGGCCCACCAAGGCGACGAUCCGUAGCUGGUCUGAGAGGAUGAUCAGCCACACUGGAACUGAGACACGGUCCAGACUCCUACGGGAGGCAGCAGUGGGGAAUAUUGGACAAAGGGCGCAAGCCUGAUCCAGCCAUACCGCGUGGGUGAAGAAGGCCUUCGGGUUGUAAAGCCCUUUUGUUGGGAAAGAAAAGCAGCAGGUUAAUACCCCGCUGUUCUGACGGUACCCAAAGAAUAAGCACCGGCUAACUUCGUG